AUACGUAGGGGGCGAGCGUUGUCCGGAAUGAUUGGGCGUAAAGGGCGCGUAGGCGGCGCGGUAAGUCUGGAGUGAAAGUCCUGCUUUCAAGGUGGGAAUUGCUUUGGAUACUGCCGCGCUUGAGUGCAGGAGAGGUUAUCGGAAUUCCCGGUGUAGCGGUGAAAUGCGUAGAGAUCGGGAGGAACACCAGUGGCGAAGGCGGGUAACUGGACUGCAACUGACGCUGAGGCGCGAAAGUGUGGGGAGCAAACAGGAUUAGAUACCCUGGUAGUCCACACUGUAAACGAUGAAUGCUAGGUGUAAGAGGUAUCGACCCCUUUUGUGCCGGAGUCAACACAAUAAGCAUUCCGCCUGGGGAGAACGGCCGCAAGGUUGAAACUCAAAGGAAUUCACGGG
rnacentral:rRNA from 1 species